GAUGAACGCUGGCGGCGUGCCUAAUACAUGCCAGUCGAGCGAACAGAUGAGGAGCUUGCUCCUCUGACGUUAGCGGCGGACGGGUGAGUAACACGUGGAUAACCUACCUAUAAGACUGGGAUAACUUCGGGAAACCGGAGCUAAUACCGGAUAAUAUAUUGAACCGCAUGGUUCAAUAGUGAAAGACGGUUUUGCUGUCACUUAUAGAUGGAUCCGCGCCGCAUUAGCUAGUUGGUAAGGUAACGGCUUACCAAGGCAACGAUGCGUAGCCGACCUGAGAGGGUGAUCGGCCAAACUGGAACUGAGACACGGUCCAGACUCCUACGGGAGGCAGCAGUAGGGAAUCUUCCGCAAUGGGCGAAAGCUUGACGGAGCAACGCCGCGUGAGUGAUGAAGGUCUUCGGAUCGUAAAACUCUGUUAUUAGGGAAGAACAAAUGUGUAAGUAACUAUGCACGUCUUGACGGUACCUAAUCAGAAAGCCACGGCUAACUACGUG
rnacentral:rRNA from 1 species